AACGAACGCUGGCGGCGCGCCUAAUACAUGCAAGUCGAGCGAGAAGGUGUAGCAAUACACUUGUAAAGCGGCGAACGGGUGAGGAAUACAUGGGUAAUCUACCAUCGAGUGGGGAAUAACCAGCCGAGAGGUUGGCUAAUACCGCGUACGCCUCCGAAUCUUCGGGUUCGGAGGGAAAGCCACACUGUGAGUGCGGCGCUCUUUGAUGAGCUCAUGUCCUAUCAGCUUGUUGGUAGGGUAACGGCCUACCAAGGCUUUGACGGGUAGCUGGUCUGAGAGGACGAUCAGCCACACUGGCACUGCGACACGGGCCAGACUCCUACGGGAGGCAGCAGUAAGGAAUAUUGCGCAAUGGGCGAAAGCCUGACGCAGCGACGCCGCGUGGGGGAUGAAGGUCUUCGGAUUGUAAACCCCUUUCGGGAGGGAAGAUGGAGCGAGCAAUCGUUCGGACGGUACCUCCAGAAGCAGCCACGGCCAACUUCGUGCCAGCA
rnacentral:rRNA from 1 species